AGUGAACGCUGGCGGUAGGCCUAACACAUGCAAGUCGAACGGCAGCACAGUAAGGGCUUGCUCUUACGGGUGGCGAGUGGCGGACGGGUGAGGAAUACAUCGGAAUCUACUUUUUCGUGGGGGAUAACGUAGGGAAACUUACGCUAAUACCGCAUACGACCUACGGGUGAAAGCAGGGGAUCUUCGGACCUUGCGCGAUUGAAUGAGCCGAUGUCGGAUUAGCUAGUUGGCGGGGUAAAGGCCCACCAAGGCGAGGAUCCGUAGCUGGUCUGAGAGGAUGAUCGGCCACACUGGAGCUUGAACACGGUCCAUGCUCCUACGGGAGGCAGCAGUGGGGAAUAUUGGACAAUGGGCGCAAGCCUGAUCCAGCCAUACCGCGUGGGUGAAGAAGGCCUUCGGGUUGUAAAGCCCUUUUGUUGGGAAAGAAAAGCAGCAGGUUAAUACCCCGCUGUUCUGACGGUACCCAAAGAAUAAGCACCGGCUAACUUCGUG
rnacentral:rRNA from 1 species